UACACUCGGCCUCGUAAUCCCACGAGCUCAAAUAAAAUCCUCAAAAGAAGAUUGAUUACUCGUGCAUUAAAUAUCUCAUAAAUAUUUUUUUAUAUAUAAAAAUAAUAAUUUAAGUAAUUGAUGUAAUUUCUCUUGCAAGCUUUUUUUUUUCUCAUUUAUGCCCACUUAAAUUCUUUUUUUUUUUCUAUGUGAAUCCAACCAAACUUUACACAUUAUUUGUGCUUUAUGCAUUAUUUUUGUUGGAAGAGAGAAGACACUCAAACUUUAUACAUGACCUUUUCACGCCUACCUCUGUCUGGGCGAUGGUGGGGUCCAGAUCGGGUUUGAUGUCGGAGGUGGAGUUGCUAACCGCGCCACUCGGGUGGCCGUCAGGAACGUCACCUCGAGAUCGGCCGAAAGCUGAAGCAAGAGUUCGUGGCGGCUCGGGGCCUCUCCCCGCUGCUCCUCUCGCCGGCUCAGAGAUUUCCCUUCCAACGACUCGGUGUUCGAUCUGGUGCACGCGAUCAACGCAUUGGCCGAGGGCGGCGCCCCGUCGCUGGGGCAGACGAGCCGCACCAUCGAGGCGCUCGAGUUCUUCAUGUCGGCCGGUCAUUUCAUCAAACAGGCAUCACUGAAGGAAUUUGAAACCUGGAAGAUCCUAUUGGACUGAGGCCGUUUAUGGCCACACCUGGAACAUGGCCCAUAUCCAUGCUUUCAUUGCUAGGGUCGAAACGGAGAUUGCUAAUUGUCUCACCCUGGUUGUUGCUCUCCUCGGACAAGUCCAUUACCCCAUAUGAGUUAGAUACACCCUGCAACACAGUGCAGUCUCCUUGAACAUCUAAGUUGUGAACCUCAGAUGAAAGGAUGCCUUGGACAAGCAGCUCAUCAUCUAGCGAGUUUAAUUGUGUGCCUAAAAAUUCUUGAAUAUCUGUUGUGAUGCGCUGGGGUGUUCCUGAAUCCGAAAUGCAAGAGAGCUGAAAUGUCUCUGUGGGCUCAAAAUUGUUGGGAUUUGCCAUAGAAGAUAUAUCUGCAGAGGAAGUUGUAGCAUUUUCGGCUGCAGAGAGAUAAAAGGAAUCCAGCUUACUGUUAAUAUAGGGAAAUUCUGGAGUCUUUGAUGAACCCAUAAAGGAUUGAAGGCAUGAAUGCUGCGUCAUCCAAUCAUCAUUAUCCAAGAUAGGAUGCGAGCAGUCCUGAUGUGGAAGUAAGUAAUUUAGAUUGCACAUGUCCGAUGAUUGUGCUGCAUGUAACCCAGGAGACUGUGUUCUAGAUGGAUCAUUCUGCUGCUGAACAAGUUUGUGAUCACUCUGUUCCUUCACUUGUAGGGCUGGAUUGGCAGAUAUCUGAGCUGCAAGAUUCACACGAUCAAAUGGGCAUGUACUUGUAGAACUUUCACCAUUUUGAUGUUUUGACAAUUGGUCCAUGUGUUCUGCCAGCAUGUCAUGGGAAAUUGUUUUGAUCA